UACGUAGGGUGCAAGCGUUGUCCGGAAUUAUUGGGCGUAAAGAGCUCGUAGGCGGUCUGUCGCGUCUGCUGUGAAAACUCGGGGCUUAACCCCGGGCCUGCAGUGGGUACGGGCAGACUAGAGUGCGGUAGGGGAGACUGGAAUUCCUGGUGUAGCGGUGAAAUGCGCAGAUAUCAGGAGGAACACCGGUGGCGAAGGCGGGUCUCUGGGCCGUAACUGACGCUGAGGCGCGAAGGCCAGGGGAGCAAACGGG
rnacentral:rRNA from 1 species